AUUACGUGUUAUCAAAUACUGUAGGUAUAUGACAAUAUGGGACAACUAUAGUGUCAAAAAUCGCGACACAUGUAUGACCUUUCCCCACCGCGGUGCAUCGGGAAGGUAAUGAAUGCGCUUUAAGAUAUUGUAAUUUGUAAUAUUCAUAUUUAGCGAAUUCGAGUAUUUGCAGGGGGCUAUAUGUCAUCUAUGUCGUCUACAAUUAUUAUCAUUGUAUAACCCGUAUCGUCAUAUUAUAUAGUAUUUACAUAAUAAUAAUUAUUAUGGUUUGUGAUUGUAAGUAUAACAAUUAUACGAAACUCAUAUAUGGGUCAGGCGUGUAGAACCUUUGUCGGUGAUUGGCUAUAGUGUUACUGGCAUUUGGUUACACUCAGACUUUUGAGACGAAUCCUCGUAAAGUAGACACAUUAAGCAGUUUAUUGUUAAAAUGAAAAGAAUACCGCGCUGAAUUGGGUGCUACACCCCUUUUCACAGGAAAUGUAAACGAAAUUCGUUAAAGUUAGCAUGUUCCGUUCAAAUUCGACCUUUGCGAGAACGGGCACGUUCGAAGUCUAUAUACAUAUAAGGUUCGCCUCAGAUUCAUAUAUAGGUAUAGGUAUACCCACGUAAAAAAGAAUGCCACAGACCGGCAUCGUAUAUAUAUAUAUAAUACACCUACCUCUCAACGCGUCACAAAGGCUCUCAGAGUCCGUUCGAAAGGCUCUCUUGUCGCACGAUGUCGUUCGUAUCGAUUGGCCUUUUUUUUUCUUCUUGUGUAUGCACUGCACUUUUAUUUCGAGGGUCGAUGAAUAAAAUCAACAAUAGCCAUCUAUUUGUCGAAGGCUGUAAUGAAAAUAUAAACAAAAAUUUAAUAUGAAUAUAAGUAUAUAUAUUUUUAUAUAGUAUAUAUUAUCUAUACUAAUUAUCGUUAUUUAAUUAAAAUACUACCAACUAUGUCACCGGCACUGUACCUACCGAUGACUAUAAAAUAUAAUAAUAAUAAUAUAUAAUAUCGAACAGUGCGGAACAGUGCGAACACGGUGAUGAUUUUCAUUCGUCGACUCUGCACGCGCGUGUAUUAUGUUAUUACGUAUUAUAGGUAUAACAUUGUACAGUAAGUAUUAUAUUGUAUAUAAACAUGUUUUAUAAUAACACAUUCACACACAACUUGCUGCUCAUUUAUACGCGUACAGAUUAUAUUUAUAUGUAGAUAUACAUGCAUUUAUAUCUAUAUAUACGCGUUAUAUUGUGCAUAACUAUAAUAUACCGUGCAGCUAGUUUUAUUAGCUGGUGUAUAUGAUAUUAUUAUUAUAGGUAUAUAUAGUUGUGCGUAAUAAUCAUGAAAGGAUUUCGAUAUUUUAGUCAAUUUCAGCGUGUGCCGACCUUAUGCGAACACCGAACCUUUAUAAUAUUAUACUCGCCACUAGCAGUACACUUCAACAUUAUUAUUGUUAUUAAAGUCUCGUAAAACGACGUGUGUAACGUUUUAAAUAACGUGCGUAUGAUAUAAACUUAACUCGCAUAUAAACGCGAUGGUGAUUUAAUCAUGUUAUCAGAAAACAGCCAACCGUGAGUAUAGUUAUUCCAUUCGUAGAGUACAUUAUAUAUAUCAAGAUCCUGCGAAUAAUAUAAGAAUUUUAAGCGCACGUCUGUGUGUGCGCACGCGCAUAAGUGUUUGAUAAUAUAGUAAUAUCACACGACACGCAUGUAGUCUGACUUUUAUAAUACCCAAAGGAACAUGAAAUAUACGCGAGUGGCUGCGGAAAUUUCUGCGUAUAUAUUACGCGAAAACCACCGGAGCGUUAUUUCAAAUUUUUAGAUAAUUUAUUAACUCGGUGACAAAAAUAAGAAACUACGGCAGUGACGUAAGUAUAUAAUGCGUGCGGUGUCCCAACCCCCUUGGCCUUCUACCCUCUUACCCACGGUAAUGCCAUAUUUCAAAUAUAUACAACGACGUAUAUAAGCACGUUAAAUAAGACAAUAUAAUAAUAUCACAUAAUAUAUAGGAAGUUGUGCGUCUCUGUGGGGUAAGGUGGAAGGAAAAUCGUAUCAUCACACCACAUCGAACACAAAAUUAUUGAGGCAAUGAAGUAUGUAUACAUACACGUAUAUAUACGUACAUGUGUCUCUGUUACGUCGAGUAACGAGAUUUGUGUUAUUAUUAUUGGGUAUCAUUAUUAUAUAUUUCUACACUCAACGGCUAAAAUUGAAAAAUAAAUCUCAAUUGUAAGGUUUGAGCUAUAGGUACACGCCGUAUGGUCGUAUAAUAAUAAUAAAAAUAGAAAUUGUUAUUUGUCCGUUUCGUUCUCCGAUCGGUGCUUAUCGUUUUUAUUAAAAAGAGUUAUAUAAUAUAAUAUACCUAUACUUGUACAGGUAUUCGACUAUUCGAGUAUGCACUACAAUAGUAACGCGUCACGUGUCCAUUUUGUAUUCGGUAAUGUUAUUACACGUUCCUAAAUAAUAUUAUAUGAACUGCAAUGGCUUGAUUAUAUAGAUUAGCCAGCAUUCGCGAGUACGCCAUAUAUAGGUAUGCACAUAUUAUACCUCCGCAAAUUAAAUGAAAUGCACUACAUAUAAUGCGCUAUACACGUAUAUACGGCAUAGAGGUAGUUAUUUGAUAUUUCUCUCUCCGCGGUCGGUAUGUACUCAAUAUAAUAUUAUUUUGUUCGUGUCAUUAUUAAUAUAUGCUAAAUAAACAACUUUUGAACAAAUAUCAAUUUUAAUAAUGAAUUUCGCAUAAUUGCUGUGUUCGAUAAAUUGCCAUAUAUUAAUAACCAUGGCUGGUGGUAUGCAUUUUCAAAUAUAUUCGGCCGUGCUCAAUUUUGAAUAUUCUAUAUAGAUGAUAUUAUAGCUAAAUGGAUGAAGUGCUAUUGCGCGUAUAUUGUUAAUGUAAAACAUUUUGCGUGAUUGCAAUUUACUGUUAUUUUUUUUAUGCUAGACUGCUAGAGCGUUGUGAAACUAUAGUAUCCACUUGACGAUUCAAUCAUCUAUAGACAGAAAUUCGAAUGCUGGAACAGUAUGAACUUAGGUUGUAACUAUUUAGAACGAACAAAAAUUUAAAAACAUAAUUGUUGUGUUAUACUUGAAUAUAUUGUGAUAUUAUACCGACUUGACUAUAUUUUUCCAUCAUGAAUGACUAUAAUGCAACUUUUGUUUUUCACAUAAUUAUACUAUUCACUAUAAACUUGAAGUUGAAACUACAUUAAAAAGCAAAAAAAAAAUCUUAUAAGAUAUAUAUAUAUAAAUAUAAAUAAUUAAAUUUAAAGUCAUAUUAUAUCUAGCCAAUCCAGCACACUCCUAUAAUUGUAUUUUUCACACGUAGUAAUAAUCAAGAGUCAGGAUUUUAUUAAUUUAUAAUAAAAUAAAAUACAAAUUAAUUGGGUUAUACUUUCAAAGCAAUACCUACUCGUUUUAAUGAAGUAUAAAUCGUACGUGUACUGAACUGCAGAAAGAAUAAUCAGAAAUAUAUUUUUUUUCCUUUUUUGGAAUUAAAGUGUAUCUCUUUCACUUCCAGAGCACUCAACUUUGCCGAAUUGCAAUUGCUACAAGUACUAAGUAGAGAUGAACAACUUAAAGUUCGGUUCAUUUUCGAAAGUACCCUCUAAAAGUAUUCAUUCCUAAGAAUGGUAUUCAUUUUUUUUUUUU